GAUGAACGCUGGCGGCGUGCCUAAUACAUGCAAGUCGGGCGAAUGGAUUGAGAGCUUGCUCUUAUGAAGUUAGCGGCGGACGGGUGAGUAACACGUGGGUAACCUGCCCAUAAGACUGGGAUAACUCCGGGAAACCGGGGCUAAUACCGGAUGACAUUUUGAACCGCAUGGUUCGAAAUUGAAAGGCGUCUUCGGCUGUCACUUAUGGAUGGACCCGCGUCGCAUUAGCUAGUUGGUGAGGUAACGGCUCACCAAGGCAACGAUGCGUAGCCGACCUGAGAGGGUGAUCGGCCACACUGGGACUGAGACACGGCCCAGACUCCUACGGGAGGCAGCAGUAGGGAAUCUUCCGCAAUGGACGAAAGUCUGACGGAGCAACGCCGCGUGAGUGAUGAUGGCUUUCGGGUCGUAAAACUCUGUUGUUAGGGAAGAACAAGUGCUAGUUGAAUAAGCUGGCACCUUGACGGUACCUAACCAGAAAGCCACGGCUAACUACGUGCCAGCCGCCGCAGUAA
rnacentral:rRNA from 1 species